GUAGGUGGCAAGCGUUGUCCGGAAUUAUUGGGGCGUAAAGCGCGCGCAGGCGGUUCGUUUAAGUCUGAUGUGAAAGCCCACGGGCUCAACCGUGGAGGGUCAUUGGAAACUGGAGAACUUGAGUACAGAAGAGGAAAGCGGAAUUCCACGUGUAGCGGUGAAAUGCGUAGAGAUGUGGAGGAACACCAGUGGCGAAGGCGGCUUUCUGGUCUGUAACUGACGCUGAGGCGCGAAAGCGUGGGGAGCAAACAGGAUUAGAUACCCUGGUAGUCCACGCCGUAAACGAUGAGUGCUAAGUGUUAGGGGGUUUCCGCCCCUUAGUGCUGCAGCUAACGCAUUAAGCACUCCGCCUGGGGAGUACGGCCGCAAGGCUG
rnacentral:rRNA from 1 species